GCGCGCGAUGGGCUCGGUGGAGAGACUAGGGGGACAAGGGAUUCGCGCGGGCGCAGGCGGGUUCCGCGGGGUGUUUGACCGGGUGCCCAUGAUCACCUGAGGCCUCGCCGAGGGACUGUCUCCGAAUUAGUGACCUUCAAGGACAUGGCGGUGGACUUCAGCCUCAAGGAGUGGGAGCUGUUGGACCUGGCUCAGAGGUUCCUUGCAGAGGUGACACUGGCGACCUGCAGGAGCCUGCUGUCUCUGGGAAUGACCCGCACCAGGCUCCAGUCCUCGUCCACGCACGUUGGGCCAGCGACUGCUGAGAGAGGAGACCACCUCCGGGGGUGCAACUGGACAGCUAUGGGUUAACUGUACAGCUAAGCUGCUUUGGGAAACUGAUGUUGUGCGCUCCGGGAGGGGGCUGUGAGGGUGGAAACGAUAUAAACGUGGAAGCGGCUUGUUCUGGGCUCGGGUGGACACUCACCACCCACCGGAGGACGUCGGCAGUGAAUCUCACUUUCUCCUACUCCAUGUCUGAGCGGCUCUGUCUGGGUCCCCUGUGGUUUCCUGCAACGCCGGCAGGUUCCAGGCUGUCUGGGGAUUGGAGGUAUGACCAAAGAUACAGUGAAUGCUGCUACUGAGUGGCAUCCGACAGAAAGGCAGCUCACAAAACAAGCCGGUGUCCUCAUCUGCCUUAUUCGCCAGAUCUGGUGCCGUGUGACUUCUGACUCUUCCCCAAAGUCAACGUGACCGUGAGCAGUAAUGGGUGGGAAGCCAUUUGCAACGUCGAGGCGGCCACAACAGCACAACUAAAGACACUCACGAAAGAGGACUUCCAGAGCUGCUUCAGAAAGUGGUGGGAUGACGGGACAAGUGUUUGAAGGGUGGGAGAGGAUUUUGUGGGGGACUCAUGGCGAUGUGUAUUUUACUGGAAUAAGAGAGUGAUGUCUGGGGUUAUCUGUUUAA